UACGUAGGGAGCAAGCGUUGUCCGGAAUCAUUGGGCGUAAAGCGCGCGUAGGUGGCUUCAUAAGUCCGUUGUGAAAGUCAAAGGCUCAACCUUUGAAAGCCGAUGGAUACUGUGGAGCUAGAGUCCGGAAGAGGAGAGUGGAAUUCCUGGUGUAGCGGUGAAAUGCGCAGAUAUCAGGAAGAACACCCGUGGCGAAGGCGGCUCUCUGGUACGGCACUGACGCUGAGACGCGAAAGCGUGGGGAGCGAACAGG
rnacentral:rRNA from 1 species